AUUGAACGCUGGCGGCAGGCCUAGCACAUGCAAGUCGAGCGGCAGCGGAAAGUAGCUUGCUACUUUGCCGGCGAGCGGCGGACGGGUGAGUAAUGUCUGGGAAACUGCCUGAUGGAGGGGGAUAACUACUGGAAACGGUAGCUAAUACCGCAUAACGUCGCAAGACCAAAGAGGGGGACCUUCGGGCCUCUUGCCAUCAGAUGUGCCCAGAUGGGAUUAGCUAGUAGGUGGGGUAACGGCUCACCUAGGCGACGAUCCCUAGCUGGUCUGAGAGGAUGACCAGCCACACUGGAACUGAGACACGGUCCAGACUCCUACGGGAGGCAGCAGUGGGGAAUAUUGCACAAUGGGCGCAAGCCUGAUGCAGCCAUGCCGCGUGUAUGAAGAAGGCCUUCGGGUUGUAAAGUACUUUCAGCGGGGAGGAGGGUGUUGAGGUUAAUAACCUCAGCAAUUGACGUUACCCGCAGAAGAAGCACCGGCUAACUCCGUGCCAGCCGCCGCCGUAACAC
rnacentral:rRNA from 1 species